rnacentral:tRNA from 1 species
AUUUAUAUAUUAUAAUUGAGUAAAAUUAAUUUCCAAUUAAUUAGUCUAUUAAAUAAUAGUAUAAAUA